UGGCCCAGUUGCUCUCCUAUAAAAUGAGAUAGGGUAACCACCCAUGGAGAGGUACCUCAGAAACCCUAGCUUCCAAGCUAACAUCUUUCUGCUCUCUUCUUCUUCAGCCGUCGCCUCCCCCUCCUCCUCCUCCUUCUCCAACUUCUCUGCAUCUGCUCGGCAACCCAAUUCGACUCAUGAAGCACUCGUCAUCAUUACUUGAAGUUCUUCCCUCUCGCGACGGGGCACCGAAGAUCUCGGCUUCUCCGAGCUGGACGUUCGGUCCGCGAGGGGGUGGAUUUCCAAGUAAUGAUUGACGAGUACUCCAUUUGUCCGAAUUCCUGCACACCCUCCGAGUUUGAUGCCAUCGGCGAAAUCCCUCUUGGGAUCUGUGGGAGAUCUUAUUGGGGUCGUUUGUUUCGGUGUGUUUAUUCAAUUGUCUGCGUGUGGAUGUGGAUUGGACUUCGUAUGAUUCUGGGAUUGGAUUGAAAUCAAUGUAGACGUGUCUCGAUUCGUGUUCGUUGGUCUUGAAAUGGGUUUAAACCGGAUUCAACAGACGGUACUGAAUCAUGUGCUGUGCAUUCAACAGACGGUACUAUGUUAUAGUGUUUAAUCAGGCAAACCAUGUGCUGAUAACAUCGACCACCGGUGAAUUGGGUUGAAAGCUUGACGAUUUUAAAGGAAAAAGCAUUUCUUUGUUGGAUCUGAUGUGAAUAAAUCUGAACACGGAGUGUUUUUUUUUUGGGUGUUUUUUGCAUUUACCAUGGAAGAGUGUGUUUGGCGGAUUAUAUGUUGAUGCUUUCUUCGAUUGUGUGAUAGAGUAAACAUGGUGUAUCGAGUGGUACUUCGAAUUAGAUGGGCAUGCGAUUGGCAUCUGCGCUUUCAAGCUAAUGGAUACUGUAAUCUGAAUGCUCUGGAUGAGGAAAACCUUUUCCUAGUCUAUCUGCAGAAAUUGGAGCAUGAGCCAUGUACUUGAAUUGAGAUGUUUUAGCUUAUGCCUCCAAAGUAUGUAAUUUUCUAAGGCAUCAAUAUGAA
rnacentral:lncRNA from 1 species